AAAAGGAUGAAGAGUUAAAGUAUAAUAUACUCCAUAUACUUUAACUCUUCAUCCUUUUGGG
ensembl:miRNA